rnacentral:rRNA from 1 species
CACAGACAGCUAGGAGGUUGGCUUAGAAGCAGCCACCCUUUAAAGAAAGCGUAAUAGCUCACUAGUCGAGUCGGCCUGCGCGGAAGAUAUAACGGGGCUAAACUGAUAACCGAAGCUGUGGAUGCGCAUUUAUGCGCAUGGUAGAGGAGCGUUCUGUAAGCCGUUGAAGGUGAAUCGUAAGGUUUGCUGGAGGUAUCAGAAGUGCGAAUGCUGACAUGAGUAACGAUAAAGGGGGUGAAAAACCCCCUCGCUGAAAGACCAAGGGUUCCUGUCCAACGUUAAUCGGGGCAGGGUGAGUCGACCCCUAAGGCGAGGGCGAAAGCCGUAGUCGAUGGGAAACAGGUUAAUAUUCCUGUACCACCACGUGAUGCGAUGGAGGGACGGAGUAGGCUAGGUGAUCAGGGCGUUGGUUGUCCCUGUUCAAGGAUGUAGGCAGAGAGCUUAGGAAAAUCCGGGCUCUUAAUGCUGAGAUCUGAUGUCGAGUUUCUACGGAAACGAAGUCAUUGAUGCCAUGCUUCCAAGAAAAGCUUCUAAGCUUCAGUCACGUGGGAUCGUACCCGAAACCGACACAGGUGGUCAGGUCGAGAAGACCAAAGCGCUUGAGAGAACUUGGGUGAAGGAACUAGGCAAAAUGGCACCGUAACUUCGGGAGAAGGUGCGCCGGUGACGGUGAUGGACCUUGCGUCCUAAGCUGUUGCCGGUCGAAGUAACCAGGCCGCUGCGACUGUUUAUUAAAAACACAGCACUCUGCAAACUCGUAAGAGGACGUAUAGGGUGUGACGCCUGCCCGGUGCCGGAAGGUUAAUUGAUGGGGUUAUCUUCGGAGAAGCUCUUGAUCGAAGCCCCGGUAAACGGCGGCCGUAACAAUAACGGUCCUAAGG